rnacentral:rRNA from 1 species
UACGUAGGGGGCAAGCGUUACUCGGAUUUACUGGGCGUAAAGCGCGUGUAGGCGGCUGGUCAAGCGUGAUGUGAAAUCUCCGGGCUCAACCCGGAAACUGCAUCGCGAACUGGCCUGGCUAGAGUGCAGGAGAGGGCGGCGGAAUUCCCGGUGUAGCGGUGAAAUGCGUAGAUAUCGGGAAGAACACCCGUGGCGAAGGCGGCUCUCUGGGACGGUACUGGACGCUGA